AGCGAACGCUGGCGGCGUGCUUAACACAUGCAAGUCGAGCGAAGGUGUUUCAAGGGUAACCUUGAGAUACACUUAGCGGCGGACGGGUGAGUAAUACGUGGAUAACUUACCUCUAGGCCUGGGAUAACCCCGGGAAACGUGGGCUAAUACCUGAUAAGACCACAUUGUCUACGGACAAAGGGGUAAAAGGUGGCUGUGCAAACAGCUAUCGCCAAAAGAUAGGUUCACGUCCCAUCAGGCAGUUGGUGAGGUAAUGGCUCACCAAACCAAAGACGGUAGCCGGCCUUGGCGGGUGAACGGCCACACGGGGACUGAGGCACGG
rnacentral:rRNA from 1 species